UCUCUCUCUCUCUCUCUCAUGCACUGACUCUCUCCGACCGACAAACGCGUUAAAGAGUGUAGAUUACACCCUAAAUUUUCAAACUCCUUGCUCUAUCUUCCCUCUCUCCUGGUUUCUCUGCUUCUCCGAUCCAGAUAGCGUGCUGUAACAAAACCCUAGCUUAUUAAGUUUCAUAGAAAUUGUCUCAUUCGAUCCCAUUCGGAACUCUCCGAUGUCAAGAAUUUGAUAAUCGUUUUCGAUAUUCAAGUUUUUUUAUUAUUAUGUUUUACGAGUGGGCUGCGAGAUUCGAGUUUUGAUGAAUAAAAGUUAGUGAUUCUUUGGACCUAUCUUUCAUUUUCAGCAUCAAUUUUGGUGACAAUGAUCGUGCUUUAUUUUGGCAAUUUUACGAAGAUAGUUUAAGGAUAUUGAUUCGAUAUUUUCUGGCUGGUUUUAUUGUCGAUUGCGCUGGAUCAGAGGAUGAACUUAGCUUGACAUCAGCUGGUAUUUGGCUUUUUUUCCCCCUUGAUUCGUGCCGUUUAUGAUUGAAUGCGUUUUAAAGGGUUGUAGCUGAGCAAUAAUUGAAGGAUUGCUUACCCUAAAACAGCCAAAUUUUAUCAGUUUGCUACGCGGGAUUAGAAUGAGUAACAGUGUUGUGCAGGGAUAAUUUUUGAAGGCGGUGAUAGGUGUGCUCGGUUUUAUUUGGAUGUUGUCAGGAUAUAUGGGUAUUGUUUAGCGGAUGCUGGAUUUUGUAUUUGAGUUAACGUGUGGUGACAAGUGGGUUCUGAAGUCAAAGGAACCAUACCGAUCAUAUUGUGUUUGGUUGUUAAAAUUAAUUUAGCAAAAUGAGUUUAGAAAAUGAAGAGCAACAUGGACUCAAUCAGCACGCUGAAGCAAGACGCGAAUCAGAAAAGAAGUUAAUUUCUUAUACAAGAGAUUUUCUACUAUCGUUGCGUGAAUUGGAUGUUUGCAAAAAUUUACCUAGUGGAUUCCACAAAUCGAUUCUUAGUGAGUUUGAGGAUACUCCACAGGAUAGAUUCAGAAUUUCUGGCAGCUUAUCAUUGCAAAAUUACAGACGCAAUGAACAUGGUUCAUCGCCUCCCACUAGAGGGGAUAUGAGCAAUUAUUCCAGGGGAAUUCAUGGAAGGUGGGAUAGUCCUUCCUCUGGAAGGAGUGAUCAUGACAGUGACUCACAAUCUGAUUGGGAUUCAGUGCAUUUUUCUGAUUUAGUAAUGUGUGUUGCGACUGGUUGAACGAUGCAUGCUAAUGCACAGAUUCUGGAAAGCGUUAUGGCAAUCAAUCUCAGCGAUCCUGGCAAGUUCCUGAACAUGAUGGACUCCUUGGAAGUGGUUCUUUCCCAAGACCAUCUGGAUAUGCUGCAGGGUCAUCGGCUCCAAAGUUUCGAGCUAAUGAUCACUACCAGCUCAAUAGGAGUAAUGAGCCAUAUCACCCACCUCGUCCUUAUAAGGCAGUACCUCACUCACGUAGGGACACUCAUGACUCUUACAAUGAUGAAACUUUUGGUUCUUCUGAGUGCACAAGCGAGGAUAGAGCAGAAGAGGAAAGAAAGAGAAGAGCUUCCUUUGAACUGAUGAGGAAGGAACAACAUAAAGCUUUUCAAGAAAAGCAGAAGUUGAAUCCAGAGAAGGGUAAGGAUGACUUCGAUAUUAGUGAGUUGAUGAAGGAUCCAAAAGAUGAUAAGAGACUUGUGAUUAGAAAAAAUGAAUCAGAUGAAGCGGUGACACAGCCUUCUUCAAUUACUGAUUCUGAUAAGUCUUCCUUUCCCUCACCAGCUCCUGUAUCUAGACCUCUUGUGCCUCCAGGGUUUUCAAGCACUAUAGUGGAGAAGAAUAUUGGAAUAAAAUCUUUGAUUCACCCUCAACCAUCAGAGGUAAUUAUCUUCUUCUUCCUUUUUUAUUUAUCUAUUUAUUUUUAUUUUUUUUUGCAUUCAAAAGUUGGCCUAGGGAUGCUAUUUGUUUCCAUGCUUUCUUCUGAAGAUAACUGAUAUGCUAUUUUAGGAUAAUUCCCAUGUGGGUGGCUUGAGUUUUAAGGUUUGUCUAAUGUCUAGACUUGCACCUGUAAGAUGUAACAUACACAUGUAAGUGAAUUCAUUUAUCACUGGCUGGGUUUCACAUCAUCAUCAAUUGAUGCUAUUGAAGAAAAAGCACAAUGAUGUGGCAUAGGUAUCUGGUCAUCUUUAAUAAAUGAUUUCCUCCUGCUAGCAGUCAGAACUGUUGAAAUCUCUAAUGUUUACUCUUUUGCUCCAUGACACUGGUUGAAGGCAUUGGCAUUGUAAAGAGUUGCCUUGAUUUCUUAUUUUCCCCCUUUUGUCUUUGGUUGUCCCAUGCUGUUGGCUUUUUUGGUGGUUUCACUUCUUGAUUCCAGUAUCAAUUUUAUUAUGCAGUUAAACUAUGGAACAAAACUUUAUCACUAUUCAAGUUGAACAAUAUUUUUUACAGUUUGACAAUCCAGUUUAGGUAAUCUACUAUUCAUUUCAACUAAGCCUCAGUCUAGUCUAAUUUGGGUUGGGUGUAUGGAUCCCUGCCUCCGUUCCACCAAAUGUAGGGCUGCAUUUGCUGAAAGAUCUACAGCUACUAAAUCUUUUUUCACUACAUCUUCAGUAUCCGGUGGAGCCAAUAUCAAGCAAUUUUAUUUGAAGUUGGCACUUAGGUUGGCCCUAAUUCUCUGAAUCGAAUGCCCUAAUUCUUUGGAUGUGUAUUGGGAAAAUGUUACGGAAAGCAAGUUUUCUUCUUAUUUUUGCCUUUGGCUACAGUGCUUGGGAAGGAGGAUGUUUCUAAUUAACGAAGGAUAAAAUUUUAUACCCUUGCUUCAUCUGUGUUCUAGUUUAUUUACCAAAUACUAUAUCUGUUGCUUUCCUAGUCAAUUAAAUAUGAUUGAAUCUUAUUCUGUCAGUACAUUCUUCUACUGAUUACAUCUAUAGAUUGGCAAUGAACACGAGAGUAGCCAUUUGCAUACCAAAGGAAACCAUUCACUUAGUGGGACAUCUAAUAAUGUAGAGGAGAAACAAUUUCUAGAACAGAUGGAUUCAAGAGAGCAGCAGCAUAGCGGUCCAAUUAUUCAUGUUGCAGUCAACCAAAGUGAAAAGAUUCUGAAUUUGUCAUCAGCGUUGGUUGUUUCAAGUGAAGCAGUCGGCAUGGAUAGUCAAUAUUACAAGACUUCUAAACUUUCGGCAGCUUUUGAGACUUCAGAGAACAGUGAAGUAAUAGAGCUUGAUGCUAAGGAUGUCACGGGGAGUAAAGUUGUGGGUGAAUCCAGUCCAAACCAUUCAACCUCGAUCCUUGACAAGCUCUUUGGCAGUGCACUGACACUAAAUGGUGUUGGUUCGUCUGGUUUCAUUGAGCAUCAGGAUGUUAAAGCAGGUGAGACAGGGAGCCCUUGCACGGCCCAGUCUUCCAAGUUUGCUCAAUGGUUUCUUGAAGAAGAGAAGAAACCAAUUGAUAAUAUCUCAUCUGGCAGGCCCAAUGAUUUGCUAUCAUUAAUUGUUGGUGGUGAAAAAAGUGGAUCCCAGACUUUUGAUGUUAAGGCUAUUGAGAAUAUUCCACCAAGUCUUCCUCUCCAAAGUCCUGGACUUGCAGAUGAGCACAUGACAUCCAAUUCAAUGCCUGUUGAAAAGAUUGAUAAGCUAGACACAGUUCCAGCUGUACUUACGUGUGAAGACCUUGAACAGUCAAUUCUGUCAGAAAUUACUGAAAAUGGCUCAAUGCUGCAGCCUCCUUUGCUGGGCUGGAGUGGUUCUGGACCAAAGACUGAACAUCAGAAAGCCGAUAUUGAUGAUCAUGCAUCACAGCACCUUCUUUCAUUGUUGCAGAAGGGUGCUGGUCUGUCAACUGAUUUUGAAAUCAUAUGUUCAGACGCGCAACAAAAUAUGGAAUCUGAGAAUCUUGGCGCUGUGCUCUCUAAUUCCAGAGAGAUACACACCGAGAACAUUCACAAUGCAGGCAAGCCUUUGACUCUUGAAAUGCUUUUUGGAACCGCUUUCAUGAAGGAAUUGCAGCCAGUAGGAACACCAAUUUCUGGCCCGAGGGGCUCAAUUGGAUCAAUGAGAGUUAAUCUUUCAGAGUCUCCUUUUCCUGUGAUGGAUGAUGAUCUCCUUGCUUCUACAGAUGAUACAACAUCUAGCAUAUCGACUCAUGGCACUGGCAUUCUAGCAUCAAAGCAGAGACAACAAAUUAAAUCAGAAAGUAAUGAAGAGAAAUUUUCAGGGUUUGAUUGUCAAAAGGAAGUGGAUUCAUCACAACACCGGACUGAAUUGGGAUCCAAGGUUGGUGGCUUUGAUGGGUCUGUUGAAAUUCGACUUCCUGAAGAAGAUAGCUUGAUUACAGUUAGUGAUCCUCUUAAUCUCCAGAACUUCAUGCCUGCCAGGAACUCAUCUAAAGCUGAGUUAUUAUCCACGUCAGAGACUGCGGUUGACAUUGCUGAAAAACUAGCAGCUUUAAAUUCUGUAUACCGGGAUGAAAGGCCUUUUAUAGGAGGCCAAGAUGGUGGAGCCUUUUUUCAUGGUCCUUAUGAUACGAGGGAACAUGAUGUUCAGUAUCCUAAGAUUCACGCCCAGCCAUCUUCUCCACAGCUUCAUCACCCUCAGUUGAAUCAUGCAGGGCCAAUGUUCCCUUCAUUAGAUUCUCAUGCUACCAAUAUUAAUGCUCAGAUGAAAUUCAUGGCCCUAGAGAACAUUCAUCAAGAUCCUCCUAAUCAUCAAUUUUCUGCAAAUUUACUACGUCCUCCAUUCCACCACCCCAGUGCUGCACUGAAUGGAUUAGGUCCUAACCCACAUAAUCCUAUGUUGCAGCAAAUGCAUAUGCCUGGCAAUUUUCCUUCACGCCACCUUCUACGUGGAUUUGCCAGGGGUGCACCUUUGCAUCCACAUCCCAACAAUCACGCCCCCGGUAUUAUACAGGAGCCAAACCCAAUGCAAGGUUUCCCUUUUGGUCAAAGGCAAACCAACUUUGGUGGCAUUGGAAUACCAACACAAGCUCCUGACGUUGGUGGUGGAACAUAUCAUCCGGAGGCUCUGCAAAGGCUCAUCGAGAUGGAACUCAGGUCAAAAUCUAAGCCCGUUCAUCCUUUUGCAAUGGCUGGCCAUAGUCAGGGGAUAUAUGGUCAUGAACUAGACAUGGGAUUUGGACAUAGUAAAUUUUAGUUACAGCUGUGGAUAUGAUGAUGUAUUUGUGAUCACAUGCGCAGGGCUACCCUGCAAAGGCAGUGGGUUUAUUGUGCUGCUUCAGGAGGUUCAUGUAGUUAAAUGGUAUUUUAAUUGAAAUUAGCAUUCGGUUGGUCUUCCCUUCCUUUUUAUUUUCCUCGUUUCUCUCUCUCAUCAAAGUUUACUGUGGUCGAACUAUACAGUCAAGUAGGGAGGUCUAUGAAGUGAUCUGGUACAGAAGUGCAAAUAUUUAAAUCCCCCACUCGGAAUUUUCGAUGCAGUAAGCUUUGGGGAA
rnacentral:misc_RNA from 1 species